AUUGAACGCUGGCGGCAUGCCUUACACAUGCAAGUCGAACGGUAGAGGGGGCAACCCCUUGAGAGUGGCGAACGGGUGAGUAAAGCAUCGGAACGUGCCCAGUAGUGGGGGAUAGCCCGGCGAAAGCCGGAUUAAUACCGCAUACGACCUACGGGUGAAAGGGGGGGAUCGCAAGACCUCUCGCUAUUGGAGCGGCCGAUGUCAGAUUAGGUAGUUGGUGGGGUAAAGGCCUACCAAGCCGACGAUCUGUAGCUGGUCUGAGAGGACGACCAGCCACACUGGGACUGAGACACGGCCCAGACUCCUACGGGAGGCAGCAGUGGGGAAUUUUGGACAAUGGGCGCAAGCCUGAUCCGGCCAUGCCGCGUGCGGG
rnacentral:rRNA from 1 species